AGUCCAUGAUGUGGAUAAAGACUCAUCAUAUCCUUGUACCUUUCCCAUGCUUUGAAAAGUGAAUCUUCAUCUUUCUGUUUGAAUCCAUUGAUUUGGAUUCUUAACAU